rnacentral:tRNA from 1 species
GAGUGUGCAGCUUAGUGGCCUUAGUUUUGCAAAAACUAUAGAGAAGAGUUUAUCUUCCACACUUU